CCGAAGCUGCGGAUGUGAUCCGAAAGGGUCACGUGGUAGCGGAGCGUUCCGUAAGCCUGCGAAGGGACAGCCGUGAGGCAUCCUGGAGGUAUCGGAAGUGCGAAUGCUGACAUGAGUAACGUAAAGGGGUGUGAGAGACACCCCCGCCGAAAGUCCAAGGGUUCCUGCGUAAAGAUAUUCUGCGCAGGGUCAGCCGGCCCCUAAGGCGAGGCCGAAAGGCGUAGUCGAUGGGAAUGGGGUGAAUAUUCCCCAGCCUGUGGAAGGUGACGAAGGCCGAAAGCUGUGCGUUCUUAUCGGAUUGAACGUGCGGCCUGGGACUUCCAGGAAAUAGCCUCCACAUUAUAGACCGUACCCGAAACCGACACAGGUGGACUGGUAGAGCAUACCAAGGCGCUUGAGAGAACGGUGUUGAAGGAACUCGGCAAAUUACCCCUGUAACUUCGGGAUAAGGGGGCCCCGUCGGUGCGCAAGCAUUGGCGGGGGGCACAGACCAGGGGGUAGCGACUGUUUAUCAAAAACACAGGGCUCUGCGAAAUCGUCAAGAUGACGUAUAGGGUCUGACGCCUGCCCGGUGCCGGAAGGUUAAGAGGAGAGGUGCAAGCUUUGAAUCGAAGCCCCGGUAAACGGCGGCCGUAACUAUAACGGUCCUAAGGUAGCGAAAUUCCUUGUCGGGUAAGUUCCGACCUGCACGAAUGGCGUAACGACUUCCCCGCUGUCUCCAGCAUAGACUCAGUGAAAUUGAAUUCCCCGUGAAGAUGCGGGGUUCCUGCGGUCAGACGGAAAGACCCCGUGAACCUUUACUGCAGCUUUGCACUGGCAUUCGUGUUGUCAUGUGUAGGAUAGGUGGUAGGCUUUGAAGCCGGGGCGCCAGCUCUGGUGGAGCCAUCCUUGAAAUACCACCCUUGAAGACAUGGAUGUCUAACCGCGACGCGUCUAUCCGCGUCCGGGACAGUGCAUGGUGGGUAGUUUGACUGGGGCGGUCGCCUCCCAAAGAGUAACGGAGGCGCGCGAAGGUGGGCUCAGAGCGGUCGGAAAUCGCUCGUCGAGUGCAAUGGCAUAAGCCUGCCUGACUGCAAGACUGACAAGUCGAGCAGAGACGAAAGUCGGCCAUAGUGAUCCGGUGGUCCCG
rnacentral:rRNA from 1 species